UUGUAAAGACAGUUACAAAAGAAAAGUAAUAAAUAUGAUGUUAGGAAUUACUUUUUAAAAUACAACAAACCCCUGGCAUUUGUGAGCAAUCCCAAGAACUCACAACAUACAAAAAUCUGUGCUGGGAGUAAGAACUUCUUCCCCCAAACACCUCGGAGCAGAUGUUGGAAACUGGCUAGAUGAUGAGAAUGGUCAUGACUUUUGGAAUUUUGAAAGGUUCUAGAUUUUUCACUUGGGAAUGUCAGGGGUCUACUGUAAUAUAAUUUGCACAGAGUCAGAGUAAACAGGAAUUCUUCUACUCAUUAAUAUUACUUCUAACUAUUCUUUCAUUCUUACAGUUAAGUAGCACAGUAUUUAAGAGUAGAAAAAAGGCUGAAAAGAGAACAUAUGAAUGGAGGGGGAUGAAGAAGGUGGAUGUCGGGGGGUGCUAAGAGGAGAAAGGUGAUGGGAAGAAAUAGAACUUCCUGUCUUUUCUCUAUUGUGUGUCAUCUCGGCAGCAUGACAUGCCCCCUAUUGGAGAGGGGACAGUGGUCCAGCCUGGAUCCCCAUAAACCUCACCAUCAUCAAAGGACAGAAGAUGCAAAAGCAACUGACAGAAUCAGGCUCAGAAUGAGAACAAGGAAGUGGAUUGAGGAACCAAGAGGAGGCGA